CCGCCAGCGGGUGCUUGGCGUACGGCCCCUCGGCCGGGCCGCAGGGGCGUUCGAGGCCCUCCUCGCCGA
rnacentral:tRNA from 1 species